GAGUGAACGCUGGCGGUAGGCCUAACACAUGCAAGUCGAACGGCAGCACAGUAAGAGCUUGCUCUUACGGGUGGCGAGUGGCGGACGGGUGAGGAAUACAUCGGAAUCUACUUUUUCGUGGGGGAUAACGUAGGGAAACUUACGCUAAUACCGCAUACGACCUACGGGUGAAAGCAGGGGAUCUUCGGACCUUGCGCGAUUGAAUGAGCCGAUGUCGGAUUAGCUAGUUGGCGGGGUAAAGGCCCACCAAGGCGACGAUCCGUAGCUGGUCUGAGAGGAUGAUCAGCCACACUGGAACUGAGACACGGUCCAGACUCCUACGGGAGGCAGCAGUGGGGAAUAUUGGACAAUGGGCGCAAGCCUGAUCCAGCCAUACCGCGUGGGUGAAGAAGGCCUUCGGUUGUAAAGCCCUUUUGUUGGGAAAGAAAAGCAGCAGGUUAAUACCCCGCUGUUCUGACGGUACCCAAAGAAUAAGCACCGGCUAACUUCGUG
rnacentral:rRNA from 1 species